GCAGACUUUGCUCUCUGUACCGCGAAUGUAGCAAGCGUGCUCUGCAUUGCCUUAUAAAAGCAGUUUGCUCAACUGCAUAUCUUCCAGACAACCAGUCAGCAGCUUUGCAGUCUGCUUUGCAUGCAGACUAGGUUUUGUUUUGUUUUGGUUUUGUUUUCUGAAACCCAGUAGAAUCUGCACUGUAAAAGAAAACAACAGAAGUGAUAAAGAGGACCCGGCUUCCUCAAGCCAUGGCAACUUGCUCACAGUACCAGAUGUAAGAAUGCAUGUAAUUGUAGCCAGAAGCCUAGACUUUAAAGAAAAGAAGACACCAUCCCCAAGCAGCCAUCCAUGGUGGGGGCAUCACUACUUGUAUGAUCUUUCUCCUCCCCACUCCAGCAGUUGCAGGUAUCUUCA
rnacentral:lncRNA from 1 species